rnacentral:rRNA from 1 species
UAGCAAUAUUCUGUAGUUGGAGCGGCGCAAGGGUGCGUAACACGUGGGUAAUCUGCCAUGAAGUUUGGGAUAACUCGCUGAAAGGCGAGCUAAUACCGGAUGUGAAGAUUGGGAGGCAUCUUUUGAUCUUCAAAGUUGGGGACCGUAAGGCCUGACGCUUCAUGAUGAGCCCGCGGCCUAUCAGCUAGUUGGUGAGGUAACGGCUCACCAAGGCUAAGACGGGUAGCUGGUCUGAGAGGACGACCAGCCACACUGGAACUGAGACACGGUCCAGACACCUACGGGUGGCAGCAGUCGAGAAUUUUUCACAAUGGGGGAAACCCUGAUGGAGCGACGCCGCGUGGGGGAUGAAUGGCUUCGGCCCGUAAACCCCUGUCAUUCGCGAACAAUGCCUGUGUAUUAACACCAUACAGGUUGAUAGUAGCGGAAGAGGAAGGGACGGCUAACUCUGUGCCAGCAGCCGCGGUAAUACAGAGGUCCCAAGCGUUGUUCGGAUUCACUGGGCGUAAAGGGUGCGUAGGCGGUCGGGUAAGUCUGAUGUGAAAUCUCGGAGCUCAACUCCGAAACUGCAUUGGAUACUAUUCGGCUUGAGGUCUGGAGGGGGGACUGGAAUUCACGGUGUAGCA